CGCAAGAGUAGAAGCGUUCAGCUGCGCACGCACCACCGACGUGCGCCGCCCGGAAAUUGCUCUUGAA
rnacentral:ncRNA from 1 species